AAGCGAAAGCGGACCGACCCGUUCGGGGACGGCGUUCACAGGUGCUGCAUGGCUGUCGUCAGCUCGUGCCGUGAGGUGUCGGGUUAAGUCCCGUAACGAGCGCAACCCCUGUCCUUAGUUACAAGUGUCUAAGGGACUGCCGGCGGUAAGCCGGAGGAAGGUGGGGAUGACGUCAAGUCAGCAUGGCCCAUAUGUCCAGGGCUACACACACGCUACAAUGGCCAGUACAAUGGGCAGCGAGACCGCGAGGUGGAGCGAAUCCCAACAAAGACUGGUCAUAGUUCGAAUUGCAGGCUGCAACUCGCCUGCAUGAAGCUGGAGUUGCUAGUAACCGCGCGUCAGCUAUAGUGCGGUGAAUACGUUCCCGGGGCUU
rnacentral:rRNA from 1 species